UAGGGAAUCUUCGGCAAUGGACGGAAGUCUGACCGAGCAACGCCGCGUGAGUGAAGAAGGUUUUCGGAUCGUAAAGCUCUGUUGUUAGAGAAGAACGUUGGUAGGAGUGGAAAAUCUACCAAGUGACGGUAACUAACCAGAAAGGGACGGCUAACUACGUGCCAGCAGCCGCGGUAAUACGUAGGUCCCGAGCGUUGUCCGGAUUUAUUGGGCGUAAAGCGAGCGCAGGCGGUUCUUUAAGUCUGAAGUUAAAGGCAGUGGCUUAACCAUUGUACGCUUUGGAAACUGAAGGACUUGAGUGCAGAAGGGGGGAGUGGAAUUCCAUGUGUAGCGGUGAAAUGCGUAGAUAUAUGGAGGAACACCGGUGGCGAAAGCGGCUCUCUGGUCAGUAACUGGCGCUGAGGCUCGAAAGCGUGGGGAGCAAGCAGG
rnacentral:rRNA from 1 species